rnacentral:rRNA from 1 species
UGGGGAAUAUUGGACAAUGGGCGAAAGCCUGAUCCAGCCAUGCCGCGUGUGUGAAGAAGGUCUUCGGAUUGUAAAGCACUUUAAGUUGGGAGGAAGGGUUGUAGAUUAAUACUCUGCAAUUUUGACGUUACCGACAGAAUAAGCACCGGCUAACUCUGUGCCAGCAGCCGCGGUAAUACAGAGGGUGCAAGCGUUAAUCGGAAUUACUGGGCGUAAAGCGCGCGUAGGUGGUUUGUUAAGUUGGAUGUGAAAUCCCCGGGCCCAACCUGGGAACUGCAUCCAAAACUGGCAAGCUAGAGUAUGGUAGAGGGUGGUGGAAUUUCCUGUGUAGCGGUGAAAUGCGUAGAUAUAGGAAGGAACACCAGUGGCGAAGGCGACCACCUGGACUGAUACUGACGCUGAGGCGCGAAAGCGUGGGGAGCAAACAGGAUUAGAUACCCAGUAGUCCCUGAGCGGGCUGGCAAGGCGCAU